AACAGAUGACAAAAAUGAAGAGGAUGUGCCUCCAGAGGAGGAAAGGGAUUUGGGUGGUAAAUCCCAGAAUCAGAAGGCCACGGAAGAGCCUGAAAUCUUCAGAAGGCUGGGCUGAGAAGAACAAUGCACGUGCCUCCAGAGGAGGAAAGGGAUUUGGGUGCUGAAUCCCAGAAUCAGGCGGCCAUGGAAGAGCCUGACAUCCAUCUGACAUGGACUGAGAAGAACAAUGCAAAGACUAGAACAAGUGAGAUGUUUUACAGCUCCAGAAAGCUAAGCAAACCACCUCACAGACUGAGAACAUAAGGAUCGACACCGUCUUAACAAGGAUGACGUUGGGGCUUUGAUAGAUUGCUCCACGAGGAGCAGUAGUCUUAAUGCCAUGAAGAUUUGCCAGAAUAAUAACCAGCGACCUUAGCAAGUAAAACCCAAGUCUCGGAAUCCGAAUGUGUUCAUCAGUAUGCUCCCUGGCACUAAUGGUAACAAGCGUUUGACCUCCAGGGUGACAACAAUCCACAGCACCUUAAAUCCCACUUAGGUUCUCUAAGUGCAGGUGGCAGCUCAAACCUCCACAGAAACUGCUGAGAUGAAGAUGGAGCACUGGAUGCUAUGGCCAGCUGGCUCCAGAGGCAGUUUUCACACAAAGGAGGAGGUCAAGUGCAAUUUUUUUCUGCCCUUCAAAGCUAAGUAGGUUUCUCUCUGAGGGUUCCAGCCUCUAUGGCUGUCACCCUAAAAUUGACAGCGUUUUACCCGUGCCUGUGUAAAGCAUGAAAUCUUGUAGGUAUCAGCUAAGCAGCUUCCUGAGUGGAAGCUACACAGAGAUGUGCGAGCAGACAGCAUGAAAUUCAACAGUGAGCUGACCAAAGAGACAAUCACCGAUUCCUUCUUAUGCCUGAGGGUUCUGAUCCUCCAGUCCUGCUCAGUUUUUCUGUGCUUCCCGGAGCUAGAGCUUGGUAUGAAACAGGAAUCUCCAGCACGAGAUAAAGCAGUAGCUUAUGGACUGAUGUACUACCUUCAGCCACCACCAUGUGCAUCUAAGGGAGAGAAGAGCUGUACCAGACAUUUCUCCACAGCCCACAGAGUGCCCUUGAUACUCACUCACUCCCUUUGGUUCACUGACACCUCGAGAGAGGACAGAAGCACAAUUACCAUGUCUCACUGGAAGAGGACUCAAGACAGACACCAUAUUUGGAUCUCCAUAGCAUUCUUGGUUUUUCAGUGUUUCAGAAACUUGCCUCUGUGGCUCCCUUUUCCUUCUGCAGGACUUCCACCCACAAGUCAGCCUAGAUACUGCAGCUGAAGGAUAACCAGCACUGUGUGGCAAAACCAGCUGGAAGAGCAGGUGGAAAAAGAAAAAUCAGUUGAGGGCAUGCAUUUUUGAGGGACGGCACACGCGAUGGAGCGCUGACUCUGCCCAUCUCUGGAAAUGGAAGUGAUGGUGCCUCCGAGUGAAACUGGAUAAACGCAGAGAGAAAUUACUUCCACUCAGAGCAGUGUUCUGUUCUGUUUCUUAAGUAUCCUUUUAAUGUUGUUAAUAGAUCGUCUUAAAAAUAAAUUAUUUAAGGAGGCUUAUCUUUAAAAAUGC
rnacentral:lncRNA from 1 species